rnacentral:rRNA from 1 species
AUUGAACGCUGGCGGCAGGCCUAACUCAUGCAAGUCGAACAGUAACAGGAAGCAGCUUGCUGCUUCGCUGACGAGUGGCGGACGGGUGAGUAAUGUCUGGGAAACUGCCUGGUGGAGGGGGAUAACUACUGGAAACGGUAGCUAAUACCGCAUAACGUCGCAAGACCAAAGAGGGGGACCUUCGGGCCUCUUGCCAUCGGAUGUGCCCAGAUGGGAUUAGCUAGUAGGUGGGGUAACGGCUCACCUAGGCGACGAUCCCUAGCUGGUCUGAGAGGAAGACCAGCCACACUGGAACUGAGACACGGUCCAGACCCCUACGGGAGGCAGCAGUGGGGAAUAUUGCACAAUGGGCGCAAGCCUGAUGCAGCCAUGCCGCGUGUAUGAAGAAGGCCUUCGGGUUGUAAAGUACUUUCAGCGGGGAGGAAGGCGAUAAGGUUAAUAACCUUGUCGAUUGACGUUACCCGCAGAAGAAGCACCGGCUAACUCCGUGCCAGCCGCCGCAGUAA